rnacentral:rRNA from 1 species
GGUAUGGGAUGAGCUUGCGUCCGAUUAGCUAGUUGGCGGGGCAACGGCCCACCAAGGCGACGAUCGGUAGCCGGCCUGAGAGGGUGAUCGGCCACAUUGGGACUGAGAUACGGCCCAGACUCCUACGGGAGGCAGCAGUAGGGAAUAUUGCACAAUGGGGGAAACCCUGAUGCAGCAACGCCACGUGUGGGAAGAAGCAUUUCGGUGUGUGAACCACUGUCGUGAGGGAAUAAGGCUAUUUUUCGGAGUAGUUGAAUGUACCUCGAGAGGAAGCACCGGCAAACUUCGUGCCAGCAGCCGCGGUAAUACGAGGGGUGCAAGCGUUGUUCGGAAUCACUGGGCGUAAAGGGAGCGCAGGCGGAAGCUCAAGCGGAUUGUACAAUACCGGGGCCCAACCCCGGACCUGCAGUCCGAACUGGGUUUCUUGGAUAGUUCAGGGGCAGGC